GAGCAAUAUCCAUAGCUAGUUUUUCCCUUUCCUCUUUCUCAGCUUCUUCAGGGACUACUGGAAUAUCUUCCUUCAAAACGUGGGCAACUUUUUUAACCGUUAGGAAAAAUUCCAUCUUGGUUUGCCAGCGUUUGAAGUUAGUCCCGUCAAACCUGAAUGGUCUGCUUAGGUCGAAGCUGUUCGGACCACCUGCAACAAUGACACGAGAUAAUCUUUACUGGCUGAGUCACGACCAGGUCGCUCUCUUUAAGACGUUUCGUGGUACUGCCUCAAGGUGCAAGCAGACUAUCAACCACGCCGUCCCCAGGAUAAAACAGCCCAGAUCUCUGUUAUACGAUAUCUUACUGCACUGUAAGAAUCGCUAUCGAAUACACCCAAAAUAUGGCUACCAGUGCCAAUUCAGAAAUACCCACAAUAUUGGAAUAUCUUAUUCCAACUCUAGUGCCACGGAAAG